UUGACCAGUACGAAAAUGUAUGCACUGUAAGUCUGUAUGUUAUAUUAAUUUGACAGUUCUUACAUUUCUCCAGCCCCGUCCCUCAGCUAUUUAUUGAAACAGGGGCGGGGAAGCACUUUGUUAUUGUUUCAGCUGCUGAUUGCCGCCUAACGGAAUUCUCGCAAUUUCAGUACAAAUCUUUACCAUCUACACAACUGCAUGGCCAAACGGAUGGCUAUUAUCUCAAGUCUUUCCAACUGCAAAGACGUAGCUCUUCAGAUGAAGAUUUAUCAUGGGACCAAUGUAAUGGACACACUUUGGUGCCAAAACCUGCAUUCCUCUACUGCGGUCACACUUCAAGAAGGACUUCAAAACGGACUUUACCGUAAAGAAUUUGAAUUCAAGAACAACAAAUCACCAGAUAAUAAGACCUGAGUAGUGAGGACUCCAUCUUAGGACUCCAGUCACCUUUCCCCAAUGCUAUCCGCAUAUCAGCCUGUAUCACCUAAUCUUUUCUGUCGGAUGUGAGAUUUUCCUAACGGCAAUGGCAGGACUUCUUCCCAUCUUUAAAACAACUUUCUGACAGGUUGGGGAUUAGCAGGACUGCCUUCAAAGCCAAGUCUAUGUGUGAGCAGAUUUACUCAGAACACAGGGAAUAAUUAAGCCAAGGCCCUGCUUUACGCUGCAACCAACUAGAACCGAAACACUUUUUACCUGCAGAAGGACUAGAUUGAAGACACCACAAUGUUACUCGAAGCAUUUGAUUGUUACAGCUUCUCAUGCUCCCUUUGUUGUGUCGUUUUUUUUAACCUCUGAAUCACUAAUGUACAUUAGAUCAAGUAGACUAGAGCAGUGGUUCCCAAACUUUUUAUAGUCCCGUACCCCUUCAAACAUUCAACCUUCAGCUGCGUACCCCCUCUAGCACCAUGUUCAAUGCACUCUCAAAUGUUGUUUUUUGACAUUAUUGUAAGCCUGCCACACACACACUACACAAUACAUUUAUUAAACAUAAGAAUGAGUGUGAAUUUUUGUCACAACCCUGCUCGUGGGAAGGGACAAAGAGCUCUUAUGGGACCAGGGAACAAAUAAUAAUAUAAUAA